GUUGUAAUAGUAUGUAGGGUAAUGGUAGAUUGAAAUGAAGGGAACAAGAUACUAGAAUAUCGAAACAACAAUUUUUUUUUUUUAAUUUAAUUUCACACUUGAAUACUUAACACGGAUAUAAUUUUUUUUCACUUAAACAAGAUUAGAGAUCAUAAAUACCUUAAACAUUAUUCCACACACUAAUAUAAACGUAAAAUAAAACACAACAUUAAUUUGAAGUAGUUACAAAGAAGCUUGAUAUAUAUAAUUCAUGUUUUCUUGCACUUAUAUUCUUCGAACUGCAUCAGAACAACAUCAUACAUGAUAAUUGUGACAACAAGGAGCUGCAGGGUAUCUGUUUGGUCCUUGACCAAGUAGCCUUCUGGACUGAACUUUUUCAUAUGAACCUAUAAACAUAAUCAACAAUUUAUUUUCAUUCGUCAUAUAUUUUUAGUUCUUGAAAUUCAUAUAUCUUGAUAAUUCGGUUUUUAUUAAAUGAAUUAAAAAUUAUUUUAGUUUCUGACAUUUAAAAAAAAAAAUACAUGUUUAGUCUAUUAGAUUAAAUUUAAAGCACUAACGUGUUUUUAGUUAUUUUUAUUUUUAAUUUGCGAUUAUUUUUUCAUUCUGAGUACGUAGAGAAAAUCCUAAUUGACUAUAAAUUUUAAGAAGGGUUAAAUAUGUUUUUAGUUUCUAUACUUUGGGGCGAUUUUGGUUUUAGUCUCUCUUUCAAACUAAGAUACAAUUUAGUCCUUUAACUUUAGAAAACUCUGGUUUUAGUCUUUUUUUACCAAAUUUUUUUAACUUUAUUUGUUAUUUCAAACGCGUUUCUCAGUUAACAUUGAAGCAAAAAUGUGUCAAACAGGGUAAACAAUCCAAAUGCUAUAAUGAAACGUGCUUGAAACAGCAAAUAAAGUUAAAAAAAUUUUGAUAAAAAGGACUAAAACCAGAGUUUUCUAAAGUUGAAGGACUAAAUUGUACCGUAAUUUGAAGGAGGGACUAAAACCAAAAUCGCCCCAAAGUAUAGGAACUAAAUACAUAUUUAACCCUUUCAAGAAAUAUGCAACAUAAUUGUAAAUGAAUGCUUUAACAUGUAAAUAUAUAUAUUCAUUGGUGAAUAUAAGACACCAUAAAUAUAAACAUAAAAUUGAAAUUUUAUGUAAAAGAAACAAGAUUAGAACAUAUAUAGUUGUUGAAGCUAAGAUAAAUGUAUGGGUCCAUUCAAAACUCUGAAAAAGAUUAAAUAAUGAAGACAAAUAAAUAUGUAUUAUUCAUAAGUUUUGACGUCAUUUUAAACGAGAAAGCUAUUAAAAGAAAAAAAAAUUAUAUAUUUAACCUAUUUCUCCAUUUAUUUGUCCAUUUAAAAUAAAUUCAAUAAUAUUUACACAGUGAAUUUCACUUACUUGCAUGGCCAGAAGCACCAGCUAGAGGCAGUGAUAUUGCCCUAGCACAAGAAAUGAACACACAAAGAAAGAAGACAAUAACCCAAAGAAAAGAGAUUCUACUUGAAGCCAUUGGGUUAGGGCACAUCACGAUGAAU
rnacentral:lncRNA from 1 species